rnacentral:rRNA from 1 species
AUUGAACGCUAGCGGGAUGCUUUACACAUGCAAGUCGAACGAGUGGCGGACUGGUGAGUAAUUUAUCGGAACGUGCCCAGUAUCGGCGUAUAACUACUCGAAAGCGUGGCUACUACCGCAUACUAUUCUAUCGGCCGAUAUCGGAUUAGCUAGUUGGUGGGGUAAAGGCUCACCAAGGCAACGAUCCGUAGCUGGUUUGAGGGGACGACCAGCCACACUGGGACUGAGACACGGCCCAGACUCCUACGGGAGGCAGCAGUGGGGAAUUUUGGACAAUGGGGGAAACCCUGAUCCAGCCAUCCCGCGUGUAUGAGAAGGCCUUCGGGUUGUAAAGUACUUUUGGCAGAGAAGCGGUAUCUGCAGAAUAAGCACCGGCUAACUACGUGCCAGCAGCCGCGGUAAUAC